UUUCCGUAGGUGAACCUGCGGAAGGAUCAUUAUUGAAUGAAACACUUCUGGCUUUGUGCUGUUGUGCUGGCCCUUUGGGCAUGUGCACACGGCUCUGGUCACUCGUUUCUUCUGUUCCACCUGUGCACUGCCUGUAGACACGCUGUGUCUAUGAUAUUUGUUAACACACAACAAUGUUAGUUGGCAUGUUAUAUAUAAUAAUAAAAUAUACAACUUUCAACAACGGAUCUCUUGGUUCUC
rnacentral:misc_RNA from 1 species